rnacentral:rRNA from 1 species
AUGAGCUUUGCUCUUCUGGGCGCUGGGCGCUCCCGUGGUUCGCGAGAAGGAAAAAGGACUAAUCUUUUGUUACAUCUGGCACGAGAUGAAAAAGAGAGAGCUUCGUCUAUCGAUGAACAGCAGAUUGACGGAGCUCUUGGCAUUGCUUUGUUUUUCUCUCCUUUCCUAUCAGCGAGUUCCGAUCCUUUUGUUCGAAAUUUCUUCGUUCGUACCGAACCGCUUGCAGAAUCAAAUCCAGUUCCACAAGAUCCUAUAUCAGCUAUACAUCCUCCUUGCAUUUAUGCCGGAGAUGUCGCCAGUGCUAUGGGCUUUGGGUUAUGUAGAUCAAAAAUGAUGAAUGGGAUUGUGGCACUCCACUCGCCGCCAAUGCGGAAGGAUGCCGCCGAAAAGAAUGGAACGCUGCUUCGCUCUGCUGGAUGCGUCGGAUCCCAUAUAAGAAGCUCGCUCUUUACCCGAUCAUUCAAACAUUUUGUGGGCGGCGCGCCUGCUCUAUUGUUGCGUAGCAAUAGAAGCCUGCUCAUGCUGCUUCGGCGGCGCUUUUUCGCCUUCUCUUCGCUCUGGACAGGAGCGCUAAUGGACACGGGGAGGGAGCAGGCGAAGUGUGUCGUUCGUAAUGGAAAGAAAGACACCGCUACUUCGCCUCUUUGUUGGACCGCCGGCGCGAACACGGUGGUCUCUGACCAGGACCAGGAACCAAUUCGAAUUUGGAUCUUGACAUGUCGGUUGUUUUUAACCGUAGGCAUCUCGCCAGGAAGUUGGUGGGCUCAUCAUGAAUUAGGUCGGGGUGGCUGGUGGUUUCGGGAUCCCGUAGAAAAUGCGUCUUUUAUGCCUCGGGUAUUAGCCACAGCUCGUAUUCAUUCAGUAAUUCUACCCCUUCUUCAUUCUUGGACCUCGCUUCUGAAUAUUUUGACUCUUCCAUGCUGUGUCUUAGGAACCUUUUCAAUACGGUCCGGAUUGCUAGCUCCCGUUCAUAGUUCCGCUACAGACGAUACACGAGGAAGAUUUUUAUGGCGGUUCUUCCUUCUAAUUACAGGCAUAUCUAUGACUCUUUUUUACCAGAUGAAGCAGGAGGCAUCGGUCCGUAGAACCUAUAAAAAAGAGAUGGUUGUGGCGCGAAGUACUCUUGUGCACCUACGUCACUCGGCUCGCACGCAACCCCGCCCCGUUAUGUUAUGUUAUGGAAGAAUUUAG